rnacentral:rRNA from 1 species
GACGUAGGGCGCGAGCGUUGUCCGGAUUUAUUGGGCGUAAAGAGCUCGUAGGCGGCUUGUGCGUCGACUGUGAAACUCGCGGCUCAACCGUGUGGUCUGCAGUCGAUACGGGCAGGCUGGAGUUCGGUAGGGGAGACUGGAAUUCCUGGUGUAGCGGUGAAAUGCGCAGAUAUCAGGAGGAACACCGGUGGCGAAGGCGGGUCUCUGGGCCGAUACUGACGCUGAGGAGCGAAAGCGUGGGGAGCGAACAGG